GCUGAGGAAUGAUGACAAUAAAAGGCCGAAUUGCAGUGUCUCCAUAAGCAGUUGGCUCUCUUUGGAAGCACAAUGACAAAGUCUCCUGAAGCGAAUAAUUAGUCUGACCUCAGC
ensembl:snoRNA SNORD89 small nucleolar RNA SNORD89